AUUGUCUUGACACUAAAUUAAUUAGUACAUCAGUACAUUUACUUUUUAUAUUGUUAACAGAAAUAAAAAUUCAAUCUUUAAGAUCGAGUCAAAUAUAAACAUUUACUUUAACAUCGAUUAAAUAAAAUCGGUUUAACGACAACCCUUUUUUGAGGAGUCUUUAGUGGAAUUUACAUUUGGAGACCUCUAUUUGAUGAGCUUUUUCCCAGGAAGCAAAAC